CUGGUUGAUCCUGCCAGUAGUCAUAUGCUUGUCUCAAAGAUUAGGCCAUGCAUGUAUAAGUUCACACCUUUAUAUGGUGAAACCGCGAAUGGCUCAUUAAAUCAGCUAUGGUUCCUUAGAUCUUACAUCCAUACUUGGAUAACUGUAGUAAUUCUAGAGCUAAUACAUGCCAAAAUGCCCUGACUUCGGGAAGGGUGGAUUUAUUAGAACAAAACCAACCGGCUUCGGCUGUUGGCUUGAUGACUCUGGAUAACUUUUCUGAUCGCAUGGCCUUGUGCCAGCGACGUAUCUUUCAAAUGUCUGCCCUAUCAACUAUCGAUGGUAGGUGAUAUGCCUACCAUGGUUAUGACGGGUAACGGGGAAUCAGGGUUCGAUUCCGGAGAGGGAGCCUUAGAAAUGGCUACCACAUCUAAGGAAGGCAGCAGGCGCGCAAAUUACCCACUCUCAGCUAGAGGAGGUAGUGACGAAAAAUAACGAUGCGGGACUCCUAUGAGGCUCCGCAAUUGGAAUGAGUACAAUUUAAAUCCUUUAACGAGGAACAAUUGGAGGGCAAGUCUGGUGCCAGCAGCCGCGGUAACUCCAGCUCCAAUAGCGUAUAUUAAAGUUGCUGCAGUUAAAAAGCUCGUAGUUGGAUCUCAGGUACGGAGCUAGUGGUUGGCUUUAGCCGAACCAUUAGUUUCCGCCUCACUAGCUGUAUGUUAUCUUGUGUGCUCUUCACUGUGUGCACAAGAUACUCAGCACGUUUACUUUGAAAAAAUUAGAGUGCUCAAAGCAGGCCUUGUGCUUGAAUACUGUUGCAUGGAAUAAUGGAAUAGGACUUCGGUUCUAUUUUGUUGGUUUUCGGAAUCGAAGUAAUGAUUAAAAGAGACAGACGGGGGCAUCUGUAUGGUGGUGUUAGAGGUGAAAUUCGAUGAUCGCCGCCAGACAAACAACUGCGAAAGCAUUUGCCAAGGAUGUUUUCAUUAAUCAAGAACGAAAGUCAGAGGUUCGAAGACGAUCAGAUACCGUCCUAGUUCUGACCAUAAACGAUGCCAACUGACAAUCGGAGUUUAUUAUUAUUUUUCACUCCGGCAGUCCCUGGGAAACCUUUAAGUCUAUCGGUUCUGGGGGGAGUAUGGUUGCAAAUCCGAAACUUAAAGGAAUUGACGGAAGGGCACCACCAGGUGUGGAGCCUGCGGCUUAAUUUGACCCAACACGGGAAAACUCACCCGGCCCGGACACUGUGAGGAUUGACAGAUUGAUAGCUCUUUCUUGAUUCAGUGGGUGGUGGUGCAUGGCCGCUCUUAGUUGGUGGAGUGAUUUGUCUGGUUAAUUCCGAUAACGAACGAGACUCUAGCCUGCUAAAUAGUCACCACGUAAUAAUUGCGUGGACUGACUUCUUAGAGGGAUUCGCUACGUUUAGUGGCACGAAAUUGA
rnacentral:rRNA from 1 species